UACGUAGGGUGCAAGCGUUAAUCGGAAUUACUGGGCGUAAAGCGUGCGCAGGCGGUUAUGUAAGACAGAUGUGAAAUGCCCGGGCUUAACCUGGGAACUGCAUUUGUGACUGCAUGGCUAGAGUUUGGCAGAGGGGGGUAGAAUUCCACGUGUAGCAGUGAAAUGCGUAGAUAUGUGGAGGAACACCGAUGGCGAAGGCAGCCCCCUGGGUCAAGACUGACGCUCAUGCGACGAAAGCGUGGGGAGCAAA
rnacentral:rRNA from 1 species